UUGGGCUUCCAAGUUCCAACCAUCUUACCCUUCCGUGCUGCGCUCGCCAUCGCAAUCGCAAUCGCAAUCGCAAUCGCAUCCCUCUCCAGUCUGACGCUCGCUCGAACUUCCCAGUUCCGACGCCUCUUGCCGCGCUCAUCCCAUUCCUCUCUUUCGUUGCCUCCCGAUCGAUCUCUUCUGAGCCCUGAUGGGUGACCAGAUCAGGCAUCAGCUGUGAUGAUUUGCCUUCGUCGAAUCCGAUUCCAGCCCGACCGACGACUUAGAGCGCCCCCUCACCUUGUUCUCCUCGUGCCGCCUCCUAGGUCAUCAUCGCCACCCUGUCCUCGUGCCGCCUCCUAGGCCACCAUCGCCACCCUGUCCUCGUCGUCAUACGCUCUGAAGGAGGCGGCGGCGGCGGCGGCUGGAAGUUAGCAGACAUCGAUUCAGGCGCGGCGCAGGAGAGAAUUUGUUCUUGGCUUCUCAAGGCACGGACACUGCUCGCCGAGGUGGCUUCGCCUCUCAUGAAGCCUGGACAGCGGGGGAAGCAUGCUACCGAUAAGGAUCCUGGGGACAUAGCCGUCGAAGAAGAGAUCUUUAUGGCCUCAGAGAUAACGGUGAAUCGGGACACUCCAGAUGGGUAUCUUUCGUUUUGCUGCUACCAUCUCCAUCGAGCAAUUUGGGAGGAGUGUGCAGGAUGAGCGGUUUGAUGGGGCGGAAGAUGCAGAAGAUAUUCGAAGCGCUUGCCCCAUCUACCACUAGGAAUUACGGUAGGAGCUUGCUAGAGUAUUGCUGCUUUAGUGAUAUAUGGUAGACCAGCUUAUUGGCAUUACUUAAUGAUCGGGUUGAGAUUUGCAAAUGGUCAUCAGUUUAGAGACUCUUUCUUGAGAAUACAUAUCUACAUUUUAUGACUCAAGCUGAUAUACAGAAUAUUAAAAUGUUGAAGUUUCUCGGUGAAGAAAUGUUGAACCAUUAUUAUGAGAUGUGGUGGAGUGACCCCAAAAUUCCUUGUCUCAAGCCUUCGCCAUUGAUGAUUCUUUUAGUUUUUCUAAUACCAGAUUCUCCGAACAAAAUAGAUAUAAAAACUUUUCUUAAAAGGAAAGAUCUGGUUAGGUAGUUGUCAGUAAACAGAUGUUCAAAUAUAGUAAAGAUAGUGAAUAAUUAUGAGUUGGAAAAAUGAACAGAAAAACUGAAGUACUUGCUUAAACAUGAAUUAUAUGACAUGAAUGAGAGAUCAACACAAUAUUAAUUAGAAACAAGAACUCCAACAAGAGAUAUAGGAAAUUUUCUCGUUGGAAUUGAAAGAUUUGGAGACAAAGAAUCAAUUUGUUGAUGUUGGUGGUUGUUGAAGUGAUGGAACAAUAAGGAGAAAUAGUAACUUUUAGCCAUGAGCCUCAGACUCACCUUGAAUUGCCUUAGGUUGCAUUUGGUUCACACAAAUCACUCUUGAAUGUUGAUUAUCAAUCCAAUCAAUUCCAUUGUUUGGUUUGUAUUUAUUAAGGUGGAAUGAAAUUAAUAAAUCCCUCAAGAAUCAGAAUCAACAUUCUGCACCUAAUUUCUCAAAUUUACUCAUCCAAAUCCAACUCAUGCCCUCCUUGUGUACCUCCCCCAUAGUUGCCGUUGAAUGCCACCCUCUUGUACUCCCCCCACUACCUCCAUUGGUCAUGGAACCCACCUUGUGUAUUUCUCCAUCUCUUCCUACACCUUCCUUAUUGAGCUUGAAUCCGCAUCCUCACCAAGUGUUAGGAUGUAUACUAAAAGCCUAGCUUUUGGUAUAAACAUUUAUUAGAAAUAAA